rnacentral:tRNA from 1 species
GCUAGAGGUAUAGCUCAGUGGUAGAGUGCAUGCUUAGCAUGCAUGAGGCCCUGGGUUUGAUCCCCAGUUCAAAAGCA